rnacentral:hammerhead_ribozyme from 1 species
AUUCAGCCAACGAGUUCCAAAUAGAACGUAACACGUGUCCUGGAU